UGUGCAAUAUGUUAGUUGUGCAAUACGUAGGCUAUUUUAGUUGUGCAUUAUGUCAGUGCAUUGGGGCAUU